AGGCAACCUGCCCUCAAGCUUGGGACAACUACCGGAAACGGUAGCUAAUACCGAAUACUUGCUUCCUUCGCCUGAAGGGAGCUGGAAAGACGGAGCAAUCUGUCACUUGAGGAUGGGCCUGCGGCGCAUUAGCUAGUUGGUGAGGUAACGGCUCACCAAGGCGACGAUGCGUAGCCGACCUGAGAGGGUGAUCGGCCACACUGGGACUGAGACACGGCCCAGACUCCUACGGGAGGCAGCAGUAGGGAAUCUUCCGCAAUGGGCGAAAGCCUGACGGAGCAAUGCCGCGUGAGUGAUGAAGGUUUUCGGAUCGUAAAGCUCUGUUGCCAGGGAAGAACGCUCAGGAGAGUAACUGCUCCUGAGGUGACGGUACCUGAGAAGAAAGCCCCGGCUAACUACGUGCCAGCAGCCGCGGUAAUACGUAGGGGGCAAGCGUUGUCCGGAAUUAUUGGGCGUAAAGCGCGCGCAGGCGGUCAUUUAAGUCUGGUGUUUAAUCCCGGGGCUCAACCCCGGAUCGCACUGGAAACUGGGUGACUUGAGUGCAGAAGAGGAGAGUGGAAUUCCACGU
rnacentral:rRNA from 1 species